rnacentral:rRNA from 1 species
AUCAGUGGCGAACGGGUGAGUAACACGUGAGUAACCUGCCCCGGACUCUGGAAUAAGCGCUGGAAACGGCGUCUAAUACCGGAUACGAGACGCAACCGCAUGGUUAGCGUCUGGAAAGUUUUUCGGUCUGGGAUGGACUCGCGGCCUAUCAGCUUGUUGGUGAGGUAAUGGCUCACCAAGGCGACGACGGGUAGCCGGCCUGAGAGGGCGACCGGCCACACUGGGACUGAGACACGGCCCAGACUCCUACGGGAGGCAGCAGUGGGGAAUAUUGCACAAUGGGCGAAAGCCUGAUGCAGCGACGCCGCGUGAGGGAUGACGGCCUUCGGGUUGUAAACCUCUUUCAGCAGGGAAGAAGCGAAAGUGACGGUACCUGCAGAAGAAGCACCGGCUAACUACGUGCCAGCAGCCGCGGUAAUACGUAGGGUGCGAGCGUUGUCCGGAAUUAUUGGGCGUAAAGAGCUUGUAGGCGGUUUGUCGCGUCUGCUGUGAAAAUCCGGGGCUCAACCCCGGACUUGCAGUGGGUACGGGCAGACUAGAGUGUGGUAGGGGAGACUGGAAUUCCUGGUGUAGCGGUGAAAUGCGCAGAUAUCAGGAGGAACACCGAUGGCGAAGGCAGGUCUCUGGGCCACUACUGACGCUGAGAAGCGAAAGCAUGGGGAGCGAACAGGAUUAGAUACCCUGGUAGUCCAUGCCGUAAACGUUGGGCGCUAGGUGUG